AACGAACGCUGGCGGCAGGCUUAACACAUGCAAGUCGAACGCAUCCUUCGGGGUGAGUGGCAGACGGGUGAGUAACGCGUGGGAACGUGCCCUUCAGUUCGGGAUAACCCAGGGAAACUUGGGCUAAUACCGGAUACGUGCGAGAGCAGAAAGAUUUAUCGCUGAAGGAUCGGCCCGCGUCUGAUUAGCUAGUUGGUGGGGUAAUGGCCCACCAAGGCGACGAUCAGUAGCUGGUCUGAGAGGAUGAUCAGCCACAUUGGGACUGAGACACGGCCCAAACUCCGACGAGAGGCAGCAGUGGGGAAUGUUGGACAAUGGGCGCAAGCCUGAUCCAGCCAUGCCGCGUGAGUGAUGAAGGCCUUAGGGUUGUAAAGCUCUUUCGUCCGGGACGAUAAUGACGGUACCGGAAGAAGAAGCCCCGGCUAACUUCGUGCCAGCAGCCGCCGUAA
rnacentral:rRNA from 1 species